rnacentral:rRNA from 1 species
GAUGAACGCUGGCGGCGUGCCUAAUACAUGCAAGUCGAGCGAACGGACGAGAAGAUUGUUUUUCUGAUGUUGGCGGCGGGCGGGCGGGUAACACAUGCAUAACAUUCCUCUUUUUCUGGGGUGACUUCGGGAAGACAGAUAUACUAAUACCUCAUACUUUCUACCGGUUGGAGCAAGGGUGCAUGACGCCCUUGCUGUUUCUUAUAGACGGAUCCGGGUUGGAUUAGCUAGUUGGUAAGGUAACGGCACACCAAGGCGACGAUGCGUAGCCGGUCUGAGAGGAUGAUCAGCCACACUGGAACUGAGACACGGUCCAGACUCCUACGGGAGGCAGCAGUGGGGAAUAUUGGGCAAUGGGCGAAAGCCUGAUCCAGCCACACCGCGUGGGUGAAGAAGGCCUUCGGGUUGUAAAGCCCUUUUGUUGGGGAAGAAAAGAAGUAGGUUAAUACCCCGAUGUCCUGACGGUACCCAAAGAAAAAGCACCGGCUAACUUCGUG